AUUGAACGCUGGCGGCAGGCCUAACACAUGCAAGUCGAACGAGUGGCGGACGGGUGAGUAAUGUCUGGGAAACUGCCCGAUGGCGGGGGAUAACUACUGGAAACGGUAGCUAAUACCGCAUACCAUCAGAUGUGCCCAGAUGGGAUUAGCUUGUUGGUGGGGUAACGGCUCACCAAGGCAACGAUCCCUAGCUGGUCUGAGAGGAUGACCAGCCACACUGGAACUGAGACACGGUCCAGACUCCGACGGGAGGCAGCAGUGGGGAAUAUUGCACAAUGGGCGCAAGCCUGAUGCAGACAUGCCGCGUGUAUGAAGAAGGCCUUCGGGUUGUAAAGUACUUUCAGCAGGGAGGCGUUACCCGCAGAAGAAGCACCGGCUAACUCCGUGCCAGCAGCCGCGGUAAUAC
rnacentral:rRNA from 1 species